rfam:Brachypodium distachyon strain Bd21 chromosome 2, whole genome shotgun sequence.
AGAGUACUUCCUCCGAUCCUAAAUUGUUGUCGAAAUAUUACAUGUAUCUAGACGCUUUUUAAGAAUAGAUAUAUCCAUAUUUGGUCAAAUUUGAGACAAGAAUUUAGGAUCGGAGGAAGUAUUUU